CAUGGUGGUAUAUGACUUCUAGUCUUCUCUUGAUUUGCAUAUUUUUAUGAUUUGAUUGUAAUCGUCAAAGGGUUCCUAGGGUUUUGAGUUUCGAUAGUUGAGUUUAAUUGUUAAAUUUUAUUUUUAUUUACUGAAUGUAUGUUAAAAAUUUUUGAAAUCUAUAUUAUACUAUAUCAUCGAAAUCUAAUAGUGGUAUCAAAGCCACCCU
rnacentral:lncRNA from 1 species